UACGGGGGGGGCAAGCGUUGUUCGGAAUUACUGGGCGUAAAGGGCUCGUAGGCGGCCAACUAAGUCGGAUGUGAAAUCCCCAGGCUUAACCUGGGAACUGCAUCCGAUACUGGAUGGCUUGAAUCCGGGAGAGGGAUGCAGAAUUCCAGGUGUAGCGGUGAAAUGCGUAGAUAUCUGGAGGAAUACCGGUGGCGAAGGCGGCAUCCUGGACCGGCAUUGACGCUGAUGCACGAAAGCUGGGGGAGCGAACAGG
rnacentral:rRNA from 1 species